AUAGUAUCCCCGUUGAAUGAACUCACUUGCUUGGAUGCCAGUGUGUGAGCAAGACACAUUUGACAUUUGCAGAGGAUUUCAGAGGUAUAAUGACAUAAUAUAUCGUCGCUGUCACGUGGUCAGCCCCUUUGUGCCUCGUAUCCUGGUCAACAUGGCUGCAGGUCAUGUCAGCAUUAAGCACAAUCUAAAAGGCCCCAACCACUCCGUGUCCACCGCCUGCACAACUGGAGACCAUGCCCACGGAGACGCUGUCUAGUGGUUGGGACAGAAGCCUGUGUGGGACCUCUGUCAAUUGCGGGGUUUGCGAGGGCGAGGGCUUUGGAUACCCAUUGGAACGACCAGCCCAGGCUGGCAUCACGGCCCUUACACCCAGAGAGGGGUGGGUUUGUGAUGGGUGAAGGGUCUGCGGUGGUGUUCCUGGAGGAGUGGGAGCAUGCUGUGAGGAGGGGGGCCAGGGUGUAUGCUGAGGUGCUGGGGUAUGGCCUGUCAAGGGAUGCCAGCCACAUCACAGCCCCCACUGCUGACGGAGAUGGAGCCAUCGGGUAAUAGUCAUGGAUGGGGUUUAUAGCACUCUUUCACCAGGUGCAUACUAUUUGUGUUAAGGAAUCAUUGAGAUGUACUGUAGCCAGUACCAUUAUCAAAAUCUAUCAACUUGAUGACAUAAAACAUUUAAAAAUCUUAGGCCUAUUUUAAAACUUUUUUAAAUGAUUUUUUAAAAUGAAAUUGUGAACAUAUUUGAAGUCAUAGCAUUUUUACAGUCCACUUUCAUUCUCCUAAUGUGUCGCUGUGUUUCACCAGUGUCUGAAAAGCUGGUCUGAAGGAUUCACUUCUUACUGGUUUUGUAUGGGAUGUGAUUUCGCAACAGAUCCUUUAUAAGAUUCCUAGUAUUUCAGUUUCAAUAUGUUCUCAAUAUUAUAUUGGGACAUGUAACAGUAAAUCAUUUGCAUGAAAUUAUGAUCGAUGUUUGCAUUUUGCUCAUUAAAAUACAGAUAUACUUUGUGUACUUGAA